rnacentral:rRNA from 1 species
UGGGGAAUAUUGCACAAUGGGCGCAAGCCUGAUGCAGCCAUGCCGCGUGUGUGAAGAAGGCCUUCGGGUUGUAAAGCACUUUCAGCGAGGAGGAAGGGUAGUGUGUUAAUAGCACAUUGCAUUGACGUUACUCGCAGAAGAAGCACCGGCUAACUCCGUGCCAGCAGCCGCGGUAAUACGGAGGGUGCAAGCGUUAAUCGGAAUUACUGGGCGUAAAGCGCACGCAGGCGGUUUGUUAAGUCAGAUGUGAAAUCCCCGCGCUUAACGUGGGAACUGAAUUUGAAACUGGCAAGCUAGAGUCUUGUAGAGGGGGGUAGAAUUCCAGUUGUAGCGGUGAAAUGCGUAGAGAUCAGGAGGAAUACCGGUGGCGAAGGCGGCCCCCUGGACAAAGACUGACGCUCAGGUGCGAAAGCGUGGGGAGCAAACA